ACACUGCCUUUGAGACCCCAGCAAACUUGCACAUGGCCCUGGGGGUCAGGUUGCAAUGCCAGAGCAUGGGCUCCCACAUAACUGGGACCACCAACCCCCCCCAUGCCGGCAGCCUUUCAACUGCAAGCAACACUU